GGUUCGGUGGUCUAGGGGUAUGAUUCUCGCUUAGGGUGCGAGAGGUCACGGGUUCAAAUCCCGGCCGAACCC
rnacentral:tRNA from 1 species